UCGAUGUCAUUUCAUUUCAUCUUGCAUUUUAUAUGCCUGAUAAAGCAGUGUUUGUGAGCUCAGCGGUGCUUUGUGUACAGCGUUACCUGGAAACCGAUA